UUUUUCGGAUCGUAAAGNUUCNGNNUGUNAGGGAAGNNCAAGUACCGUUCGAAUNNGGGCGGUNCCNUGACGGUACCUUANNCAGAANNCCACGGGCUNACUACGNNCCAGCAGCCGCGGUUAAUACGUAGGUGGCAAGCGUUNUCCGNAAUUAUUGGGCGUAAAGGGCUCGCAGGCGGUUUCUUAAGUCUGAUGUGAAAGCCCCCCGGCUCAACCGGGGAGGGUCAUUGGAAACUGGGGAACUUGAGUGCAGAAGAGGAGAGUGGAAUUCCACGUGUAGCGGUGAAAUGCGUAGAGAUGUGGAGGAACACCAGUGGCGAAGGCGACUCUCUGGUCUGUAACUGACGCUGAGGAGCGAAAGCGUGGGGAGCGAACAGGAUUAGAUACCCUGGUAGUCCACGCCGUAAACGAUGAGUGCUAAGUGUUAGGGGGUUUCCGCCCCUUAGUGCUGCAGCUAACGCAUUAAGCACUCCGCCUGGGGAGUACGGUCGCAAGACUGAAACUCAAAGGAAUUGACGGGGGCCCGCACAAGCGGUGGAGCAUGUGGUUUAAUUCGAAGCAACGCGAAGAACCUUACCAGGUCUUGACAUCCUCUGACAAUCCUAGAGAUAGGACGUCCCCUUCGGGGGCAGAGUGACAGGUGGUGCAUGGUUGUCGUCAGCUCGUGUCGUGAGAUGUUGGGUUAAGUCCCGCAACGAGCGCAACCCUUGAUCUUAGUUGCCAGCAUUCAGUUGGGCACUCUAAGGUGACUGCCGGUGACAAACCGGAGGAAGGUGGGGAUGACGUCAAAUCAUCAUGCCCCUUAUGACCUGGGCUACACACGUGCUACAAUGGACAGAACAAAGGGCAGCGAAACCGCGAGGUUAAGCCAAUCCCACAAAUCUGUUCUCAGUUCGGAUCGCAGUCUGCAACUCGACUGCGUGAAGCUGGAAUCGC
rnacentral:rRNA from 1 species